AACAUGUUUUCUGUUAAAUAUGCUCUGUUUGUUUGGAUAAUUCCACAGGAACCGUCAACAGCGGACUUGAAUAGAUGAUGUGCGAGUUCAUUGAUGGAUUUGCCUGCACUCAUGCGUCAUCAUGUGUCAUCACGGUAUAAAGGAUUUUAAUCUAAAAAGAAACCCUGCAGAUUUGCAGCUGUGCAGAAUGCAGUUCAUGCCAUAUGCUGUUAGAGUAAAUGAUGAAAGAUGUUCAAACCAGUGUCAAAGAUUCCUUAGACUGAAAUCAUGGUGCUUUAAUUAAGGAGAUCAGUGUAUGUUUUCUGUGCAUUGUUGACAUUUGUGGAACUGUUCAGUUUAUGACCAUCUCUCUGACAAUAACUCUGACAUUUGAAUUUCAAUUUGAGCGUCGAAUAAGAAAGUCAAAUUAAAUGCAUGUAAAACAUUAUACCACGGUUAUA